UGCGAGUCGAGCGGUAGCAGGAGAAGGCUUGCUUUCUUGCUGACGAGCGGGGACGGGUGAGUAGUGUAUGGGGAUCUGCCCGAUAGAGGGGGAUAACUACUGGAAACGGUGGCUAAUACCGCAUAAUGUCUACAGACCAAAGCAGGGGCUCUUCGGACCUUGCACUAUCAGAUGAACCCAUAUGGGAUUAUCUAGUAGGUGGGGUAAAGGCUCACCUAGGAGACUAUCUCUAUGUGGUCUGAGAGGAUGAUCACCCACUCUGGGACUGACACACGGCCCACACUCCUACGGGAGGCAGCAGUGGGGAAUAUUGCACAGUGGGCGCAAGCCUGAUGCACCCAUGCCGCGUGUAUGAAAAAGGUCUUAGGGUUGUAAAGCACUUUCAGCGGAGAGGAAGGUGAUAGGGUUAAUACCCUUAUCA
rnacentral:rRNA from 1 species